rnacentral:rRNA from 1 species
AUGCAAGUCGAGCGGUAGCACAGAGAGCUUGCUCUCGGGUGACGAGCGGCGGACGGGUGAGUAAUGUCUGGGAAACUGCCUGAUGGAGGGGGAUAACUACUGGAAACGGUAGCUAAUACCGCAUAACGUCGCAAGACCAAAGUGGGGGACCUUCGGGCCUCAUGCCAUCAGAUGUGCCCAGAUGGGAUUAGCUGGUAGGUGGGGUAACGGCUCACCUAGGCGACGAUCCCUAGCUGGUCUGAGAGGAUGACCAGCCACACUGGAACUGAGACACGGUCCAGACUCCUACGGGAGGCAGCAGUGGGGAAUAUUGCACAAUGGGCGCAAGCCUGAUGCAGCCAUGCCGCGUGUGUGAAGAAGGCCUUCGGGUUGUAAAGCACUUUCAGCGGGGAGGAAGGCGGUGAGGUUAAUAACCUCACCGAUUGACGUUACCCGCAGAAGAAGCACCGGCUAACUCCGUGCCAGCAGCCGCGGUAAUACGGAGGGUGCAAGCGUUAAUCGGAAUUACUGGGCGUAAAGCGCACGCAGGCGGUCUGUCAAGUCGGAUGUGAAAUCCCCGGGCUCAACCUGGGAACUGCAUUCGAAACUGGCAGGCUUGAGUCUUGUAGAGGGGGGUAGAAUUCCAGGUGUAGCGGUGAAAUGCGUAGAGAUCUGGAGGAAUACCGGUGGCGAAGGCGGCCCCCUGGACAAAGACUGACGCUCAGGUGCGAAAGCGUGGGGAGCAAACAGGAUUAGAUACCCUGGUAGUCCACGCCGUAAACGAUGUCGACUUGGAGGUUGUGCCCUUGAGGCGUGGCUUCCGGAGCUAACGCGUUAAGUCGACCGCCUGGGGAGUACGGCCGCAAGGUUAAAACUCAAAUGAAUUGACGGGGGCCCGCACAAGCGGUGGAGCAUGUGGUUUAAUUCGAUGCAACGCGAAGAACCUUACCUGGUCUUGACAUCCACGGAAUUUGGCAGAGAUGCCUUAGUGCCUUCGGGAACCGUGAGACAGGUGCUGCAUGGCUGUCGUCAGCUCGUGUUGUGAAAUGUUGGGUUAAGUCCCGCAACGAGCGCAACCCUUAUCCUUUGUUGCCAGCGGUCCGGCCGGGAACUCAAAGGAGACUGCCAGUGAUAAACUGGAGGAAGGUGGGGAUGACGUCAAGUCAUCAUGGCCCUUACGACCAGGGCUACACACGUGCUACAAUGGCAUAUACAAAGAGAAGCGACCUCGCGAGAGCAAGCGGACCUCAUAAAGUAUGUCGUAGUCCGGAUUGGAGUCUGCAACUCGACUCCAUGAAGUCGGAAUCGCUAGUAAUCGUGGAUCAGAAUGCCACGGUGAAUACGUUCCCGGGCCUUGUACACACCGCCCGUCACACCAUGGGAGUGGGUUGCAAAAGAAGUAGGUAGCUUAACCUUCGGGAGGGCGCUUACCACUUUGUGAUUCAUGACUGGGGUGAAGUCGUAACAAGGUAA